rnacentral:rRNA from 1 species
AAUUGACGGGGGCCCCGCACAAGCGGCGGAGCAUGCGGAUUAAUUCGAUGAAACGCGAAGAACCUUACCAAGGCUUGACAUGCACCGGACGGUCGCAGAGAUGUGGCUUCCUUUGGGCUGGUGCACAGGUGGUGCAUGGUUGUCGUCAGCUCGUGUCGUGAGAUGUUGGGUUAAGUCCCGCAACGAGCGCAACCCUCGUUCCAUGUUGCCAGCGCGUUAUGGCGGGGACUCAUGGGAGACUGCCGGGGUCAACUCGGAGGAAGGUGGGGACGACGUCAAAUCAUCAUGCCCCUUAUGUCUUGGGCUUCACGCAUGCUACAAUGGCCGGUACAAUGGGUUGCGAUACUGUGAGGUGGAGCGAAUCCCAAAAAGCCGGUCUCAGUUCGGAUUGGGGUCUGCAACUCGACCCCAUGAAGUCGGAGUCGCUAGUAAUCGCAGAUCAGCAACGCUGCGGUGAAUACGUUCCCGGGCCUUGUACACACCGCCCGUCAAGUCACGAAAGUCGGUAACACCCGAAGCCAGUGGCCCAUCCUCGUGAGGGAGCUGUCGAAGGUGGGAUCGGUGAUUGGGAAUAAGU